rnacentral:rRNA from 1 species
AGAGUUUGAUCAUGGCUCAGGAUGAACGCUAGCGACAGGCUUAACACAUGCAAGUCGAGGGGCAGCGGGGGAGUAGCAAUACUCCCGCCGGCGACCGGCGCACGGGUGAGUAACACGUAUGAAACCUGCCCGUAGCAGGGGGAUAAGCGGAAGAAAUUCCGUCUAAUACCGCGUAACAACCCUUGGAGGCAUCUCCUCGGGUUUAAAGGAAGCGAUUCCGGCUACGGAUGGUCAUGCGUCGCAUUAGCUUGUUGGCGGGGUAACGGCCCACCAAGGCGACGAUGCGUAGGGGUUCUGAGAGGAAGGUCCCCCACACUGGUACUGAGACACGGACCAGACUCCUACGGGAGGCAGCAGUGAGGAAUAUUGGUCAAUGGCCGCAGGGCUGAACCAGCCAAGUCGCGUGAGGGAUGACGGUCCUGUGGAUUGUAAACCUCUUUUGUCAGGGAGCAAAGGGCGUCACGUGUGGCGCUUUGCGAGUACCUGAAGAAAAAGCAUCGGCUAACUCCGUGCCAGCAGCCGCGGUAAUACGGAGGAUGCGAGCGUUAUCCGGAUUUAUUGGGUUUAAAGGGUGCGCAGGCGGAAUGUCAAGUCAGCGGUAAAAUUUCGGGGCUCAACCCCGUCGUGCCGU